ACUGAGCCAGCCAUGUCAUCCAGAUGUCCAACUGCAGACUCCCCAAGCAAGUUGUAUUCUCCCAGCUCAGUCAAGGUAUAUGCUCAAAAGGAGGGCAAAGGACAUCUUCAAGGCUAACUUGAAAAAUGCAACAUUGACAUCAGCUUAUGGGAGACUAUCGCUCAGGACCUCCCCAAAUGGAAGAAGAGUCUGCUGCAAAGAUCUCAGUACUUUGAAACCUCACAAUGACAACAGGAGAUGGAAAAGUGGGAGCAGCAGAAACAUGUCGCAGACUGAAUCAAAAAUCCAGAGCAACCCACCCUGACAUGGAAAUAUGUGUCAAAGUUGCAGUAGAACCUGUUGGUCCUAGAUUGGCCUUCUCAUCCAUCUUUGGGCCCACAGAUAAGUCAGCCAUGGAGAACAAUCAUCCUCAACUGCGAGGGAUUGCCGAUGAUGAUGUAGCUGGUAUUAAGAUACGCAGUUAAGGUUACUGCCUAAGCAAAGGAAGAAAAAUGCUCAACACAACUAAAAAUGGAAGGCAAGGAUUUUUGUGAGUGAUAUCUUUUAUUGGGCCAUGAAGUUGGAAAUUUCCUAACCCAAUUCUAACCAUGUUUACUGGCUCCAUCCUUUGCCAGUCAGGAAUGGAAUCUCCUGCUUGUUGCCAAUUUUUCUACUUUGCAAUGCAGUGCAACUCCUGUGUGUUGCAUGUGUUUGGGUGAACGUGCUUGCCUUCUUUUCUUCUUGUGUUAACAUGUCUGUACCAAACAACGGUGUUAACCUCUUCUCCAGUAUGUGGUUGGGAUGCUGUCAUUUCUUCUAGUGCAACGGUUCUUAACCUUUUCUUAGGCUCAAGGUAUCCCCUGCCAGGAAAAUGCCAGUGCUUUGUUUCCACUCUUUUUUUAUUUGUAACUAGAGAAAUAUAACAAGAGCGUGUCUUCUGUUCCAAAGAACUCAGGACACCCACAGCAGCUCAGCUUGGCUUGAACACUAAGAAUUCUUCCUGGAAAUCUCUGGGGUUGGUCUUGUGAAACAUGCCUGCACACUGAACAGCACUAUCAUGGUGGGGGCACCCCUGAAAAGAUCUCUAGGCACUCCAGGGUGGCCCCAGUGGAGAAUCACUGCUCUAGUGGGAGGGAGAGGGCGUUCCUCAGUCCAAGGGGAAGCGGAGACCUUGAAGAGGGGGGCUCCAGCUCACUCACCAGCACCCUGUAGGUGCCCAGGAGGGCCGUGCCAGAAGCGGGGCAGGUGGGGACUGUGUGUGGGUUCCACCCCCGUUGGUGUAUGGGAGACACAGAAACACUUGGGCACUGACCCUGGAGCCUUGCUCAGGGGCAGUGACACAUGUGCUCGUGCACGUGUUUGUGUAGCCCUGUGAGGAACCUGCGAAGUGUGCAUGUGUGUGUGUGUGUGUGUGGAGGCUGUGACAUGCAUGCACGUGUGUAUGAGAGCGUAGCCUUGUUGGGCGGUGACGUGUGCAUGUAGCCUUGCUCAGGGGCUGUGACGGGUGUGUAGUCUUGCUCAUGGGGUGUGAUGCAUGCUUGUGCACACGUGCGUGUGUGUGCAUGCAGCCUUUUUGGGGGGCUGUGAUGGGUGUGUAGACUUGCUUGAGAGCUGUGAUAAAUAAUGUGUGGGUGGGCAUAGUCUUGUUCAGGGGCUAUGAUGGGUAUGUGUGUGCACGUGCAGUCUUGCUCGGGGCUGUGAUGGGUGUGUGCAUGUGUGUGUAGCCUUGUUCGGGGGCUUUGACAAGUGUGUGUGUGUGUGUGUAGCCUUAUUCGGGGGCAAUGACAGGUGCCUGUGUGGAGAUUUGCUCCAAGGGCACGAUGGGUGUGUGCGUGCAUGCAGCCUUGCUUGGGGGUUGUGAGGGUGUGUGUGUGUGUGUAGUCUGUUUCGGGGCAAUGACGGGCGUGUGUGCGCAUAUAGCCUUGCUCGGGAGGCUGUGACGGUGAUGUGUGUGUAGCCUUGCUCGGGGGUUGUAACGCGUGGGUGUGUGAGUCUUGCUUGGGAUGUGAUGGGUGUGUUUGUGUGCGCGUGUGGGGGGGCUCUGACGCGUGUGGCAGGUGUGUGUGUCCCUGUUGGCGGCCGUGACGCGUGUGGCCGGCAGUGCUGGGCGGCAGCGGCGGGCUGGCCAGGGCUGGGAGGCGGCCGGAGGAGGGGGCUGGCGCUGAGGCUGAGGCGGAGGAGGAAGGGGUCGGGCUGGGCCGGGCCGGGCAUCGGUGACCCGGAAGCAGCAGGCGGCGCGUCGCCCAGCCGUCAUGGAGCGGGCAGGCGGGGCGGAGUGUCAGAGUCACAGCCACGGCCCCCACCGACCUCACGUACACAACUGGCACAGCAUCCACGCAGAUAAAGAGAUAACAAAGCCACCAGAAGCAGCUCCGCUGGUAGAGGACUAUAGUACCUGUGAUAUUGUCAAAGCUACUCAGUACGGCAUAUUGGAGCGGUGCAAGGAAUUGGUAGAAGCAGGGUUUGAUGUCCGACAACCAGACAAAGAAAAUGUGACUCUUCUUCACUGGGCAGCAAUAAACAACAGACUGGAUCUUGUAAAGUUUUAUAUUUCCAAAGGUUCAGUAGUGGAUCAGCUAGGUGGAGAUUUAAAUUCUACUCCUCUUCAUUGGGCCAUUAGACAAGGUCACUUAUCUAUGGUCAUACUGUUGUUAAAAUGUGGAGCAGAUCCCAGCCUCAUUGAUGGAGAAGGAUUCAGUAGCGUUCAUUUAGCAGUGCUCUUUCAGCAUAUGCCUAUAAUAGCUUAUCUCAUAUCGAAAGGGCAGAGUGUAGAUUCAACAGAUGUCAACGGACAGACACCUCUUAUGCUAUCAGCAUUCAAAAUAAUUGGACCAGAACCUACUAGAUUUCUUCUAAAGUUUAAUCCUUCUCUCAAUGCUGUAGACAAAGUCCAGAAGAAUACUGCAUUGCAUUGGGCAGUUAUAGCAGGAAAUAUUGAUGCUGUAGAUUUGCUCUUAGAGGCUGGAUCUAGCAUAGACAUCAAAAAUGUCAAGGGAGACACACCACUUGACCUUGCUCAUCAGACUCAGAAUCACUUAAUUAUCCAUAUGCUAACUCAAGAAGAAAAAAUGAGAACCAGAAAAAAGUCCAGAUUACUCAGGACAUUAGAAAAAUAUGAGGUAUUCCUGAUGUUGGUGUCUUGCUUGACAUUGAUGUGGGCUGUAGGAUAUAUCCUGGACUUAAAUUCUGAUUCAUGGCUUUUGAAAGGAAGUCUGCUUGUCAUUCUGUUUUUGGCGAUGAUUCUGUUUGUAAGGCACUUCCUGGGGUUCAAGAACCUAAAACACCUACCAGCAAUAUUUAUGCUAAGUUCCAUAGUUUGGAUGUCCACAACCUGGUUUGUCUGGUUCCUGCCUGAUUUAGUAGGCACAGUUUUUCAGUGGUUUUUUGUCCUCAGCAUAUUUGGUUUUCUCUAUUACUUCUACAAAACUUGGAAAACUGAUCCUGGAUUCAUAAAGGCUUCAGAAGAAGAAAGAAAAAAGAGUAUUGUUACUCUUGCAGAAGCUGGCUGCUUGGACUUCAGAACAUUUUGCACAUCAUGUCUUAUAAAAAAACCUUUGAGAUCCAUGCACUGUCUUACUUGCAACGCAUGUGUAGCUAGAUAUGACCAACAUUGUCUAUGGACUGGCCAAUGUGUAGGUGUUGGAAACCAUUAUUACUUCAUCUUGUUUCUAUUUUUCCUGGCUAUGACUGGUCAGAACAUUGUGCAACAACUUACCAGCAAGAUGGAGCUUGGACUUACUUCACACAGAUAGUAUCUUGUUCUCCGUGGGUUUUGUACAUCUUUGCACUAGUGUGUUCUCAUACUUCAUGGGCUUCAUUGUUACUAAUCAUUCAGCUUUAUCAGAUUGUAUUUCUGGGCUUGACCUCAUAUGAGCGAAUAAACCUCAUAGUACAGAGCAAGUCAUCUAAACAGCCUUUUUCACUCAGGAGAACUCCAUACAA